AGAGUUUGAUCAUGGCUCAGAAUCAACGCUGGCGGCGCGCUUAACACAUGCAAGUCGAACGAGAAAGUGGAGCAAUCCAUGAGUAAAGUGGCGUACGGGUGAGUAACACGUGGGUAAUCUGCCUCUGGGUGGGGAAUAACUCUGGGAAACCGGAGCUAAUACCGCAUAAGCCCGCAAGGGGAAAGGCGAAAGUCGCCGAGAGAGGAGCCCGCGGCUGAUUAGCUUGUUGGUGAGGUAAAGGCUCACCAAGGCAGAGAUCGGUAGCCGGCCUGAGAGGGCACACGGCCACACUGGCACUGAAACACGGGCCAGACUCCUACGGGAGGCAGCAGUGGGGAAUCUUGCACAAUGGGGGAAACCCUGAUGCAGCGACGCCGCGUGAGUGAUGAAGCCCUUCGGGGUGUAAAGCUCUUUCGGCCCGGACGAUAAUGACGGUACGGGAAGAAGAAGCUGCGGCUAACUACGUGCCAGCAGCCGCGGUAAUACGUAGGCAGCGAGCGUUGUUCGGAGUUACUGGGCGUAAAGCGUGCGUAGGCGGUGGUCCAAGUCUGGUGUGAAAUCUCCCGGCUCAACCGGGAGGGUGCGCCGGAAACUGGGCCGCUGGAGUGCCGGAGAGGCAAGCGGAAUUCCUGGUGUAGCGGUGAAAUGCGUAGAUAUCAGGAGGAACACCCGUGGUGUAGACGGCUUGCUGGACGGCCACUGACGCUGAGGCACGAAAGCGUGGGGAGCAAACAGGAUUAGAUACCCCAGUAGUCC
rnacentral:rRNA from 1 species